AACAUAUUCUAUAUAUUAACUUCUGUUUUCAGUAUAAAAUACAGCUCUAUUUUGCUAAAGAAAAUAAUGGUUUAAAGGAAAUGUGUUAAGCCCAAAUUUUCACAACUGACAGGGACUCGAGCUGGGAUUUUUUAGUCUAGUAAAUUAAUCCAAUAAAUAUUUUUAAGUUGCAUUACAAUUUGACUUUUAAAACUGGCAUAGUCUAAACAAAGAAGAGUUCCAGGGCUCCCAGGAUAUAAAUUUAGUGAAGUUGCUGUGACCAGUUCAUUCCACAAGUACUUUUUACCCUGUUCCUGGUUACUGACAUUGAAUGAUUUGUGAAGACAGUCUACAAAAUCUUUCUGUCUGUCUCUUCCCUUUCCUCUGUGUCAAAGCUAAGGGUCACAUGUGGAUCUUCACAUUUGAGUGGUUUAGUAUUUUUAUAGUGGCUUUCAUUUCUUAAAUGGGUUGAGCCAGCUAAUUGCUCUAGGAAAUUCUGUCUAAAUCAUGUAUUUUCACCACCUACAGUGUCUAACCAGCCUCCUCUCUGAUAUGCAAAAUUAUGAUGACUUGGAAAGCUCAAAGAGAAGUGUCUGGAAUCAGAAUUGCUUGGUGGAAAGGCAAAGCAGGAGUCUCAU
rnacentral:lncRNA from 1 species